UACGUAGGGUGCAGGCGUUAAUCGGAAUUACUGGGCGUAAAGCGUGCGCAGGCGGUUCGCCAAGUCAGGUGUGAAAUCCCCGGGCUUAACCUGGGAAUUGCGCUUGAAACUAGCGGGCUUGAGUGUGGCAGAGGGGGGUGGAAUUCCACGUGUAGCAGUGAAAUGCGUAGAGAUGUGGAGGAACACCGAUGGCGAAGGCAGCUCCCUGGGUCAACACUGACGCUCAUGCACGAAAGCGUGGGGAGCAAACAGG
rnacentral:rRNA from 1 species